UACGACUACAUAUCAGGCAUAUCAAUAAGCGGAGGAAAAGAAACUAACAAGGAUUCCCUUAGUAACGGCGAGUGAAGCGGGAAGAGCUCAAAUUUGAAAUCUUCAAGGUUUUACCUUGACGAAUUGUAGUUUAAAGAAGUGUUUUCUGUUGAAGUUUCGGUAAAAGUUCUUUGGAAUAGGACAUCAUAGAGGGUGAGAAUCCCGUAUUUGACCGUUAUUUUCAGCUGUGUGAUACACUUUCAAAGAGUCGGAUUGUUUGGGAAUGCAGUCCAAAAUGGGUGGUAAAUUUCAUCUAAAGCUAAAUAUUGGCGAGAGACCGAUAGCGAACAAGUACCGUGAGGGAAAGAUGAAAAGAACUUUGAAAAGAGAGUUAAACAGUACGUGAAAUUGUCAAAAGGGAAGCGUUUGACACCAGUGUUGUUUUCUCGAAAAUCAAUUAAAAAUGGCUUGAUUUUGUGUUGUAUUGACCUUAAAAGCUUUCUGCACUUUUUUCAUGUCUUUUUUAACGCACUUUUCGUUUAACAAGUCAACAUCAGUUUCUUUUGUUGUAAAAGAGUCAUUGGAAGGUGGCUUUCCUUUCGGUAGAAAGUGUUUAUAGCCUUUGACUUCCUGCAAUCGGAGAGAUUGAGGUCUGCAGCGUAGAUCCUUCUGGAUUAGAUACUUAGAUGCUAAGUUAUAGCUUUUUCAUAGACAACUUGUUGACUAUAUUAGUCAUGUAGCUUACUCGUUAUGCCUAUUUUACCUACGCUUAGGAUGUUGAAUCUGUGCGAGACUAC
rnacentral:rRNA from 1 species